GUGCGCCUGCGUGCUGCUGGAACCUUCGCGGUACAGCUUCGUGCACGUCACCAGAUUCCCCCUACAAGAAGAGCGCUCAAGUUGCCGGCUGCAUCACUUGGCAGUGGCAACGGAACUGUGAACGUCGUAAUAAGCAAUCUGCUUUCUGUACAGAAUAAGCCAUGGUACAGCACUUGCGAAGCCACCAGUGAAUGCGCUACCGGAUAUUGCUGCAUGUUGCCGAUAUGGGGUGGCGCUCCAACGUGCCAACCUCUUGCAGUAUUAGGCGCACAAUGUAGCACCAGGCCCUACAGUGGAGUAUACAAGUAUUGCUGCCCGUGUGUUGACGGAGCGCGUUGCGAUACACGCAUGUUCUUGUGUGUACCACCAAAUGUUGAUGGUUACAACUUCAUUAUGUCUCUGAAGAAUCGCAAAUGAGGAAAUAAAUGUUGACACCUUUUUUUGAAGGUUUCCUUCUCAAAUCAAUGCAAAACA
rnacentral:lncRNA from 1 species